rnacentral:rRNA from 1 species
GACGAACGCUGGCGGCGUGCUUAACACAUGCAAGUCGAACGAAGUGGCGAACGGGUGAGUAAUACGUGGGUAACCUGCCCUCCUUUUUGGGAUAAGCCUUGGAAACGGGGUCUAAUACCGAAUAACGGGGGGUGUGCUCGCGGCCUUUCAGCUUGUUGGUGGGGUGAUGGCCUACCAAGGCGGUGACGGGUAGCCGGCCUGAGGGGGUGACCGGACUCAUUGCGUGUGAGAUACCCCCCAGGAGGCUACGGGAGGCAGCAGUGGGGGAUAUUGCGCAAUGGGCGAGAGCCUGACGCAGCGAGGCCGCGUGGGGGUUGAAUGCUUACGGGUUGUAAACAUCUGUCGCUAUCGAUCCGGUAGGUGGAGAAGAAGCGCCGGCUAACUACGUGCCAGCAGCCGCGGUAAUUC